UACGUAGGGUGCAAGCGUUGUCCGGAAUUAUUGGGCGUAAAGAGCUCGUAGGCGGUUUGUCGCGUCUGCUGUGAAAACUCGGGGCUUAACCCCGGGCCUGCAGUGGGUACGGGCAGACUAGAGUGCGGUAGGGGAGACUGGAAUUCCUGGUGUAGCGGUGAAAUGCGCAGAUAUCAGGAGGAACACCGGUGGCGAAGGCGGGUCUCUGGGCCUUACCUGACGCUGAGGAGCGAAAGCGUGGGGAGCGAACAGG
rnacentral:rRNA from 1 species